UACGUAGGGGGCGAGCGUUAUCCGGAUUCACUGGGUGUAAAGGGAGCGUAGACGGCCAUGCAAGCCAGGGGUGAAAGCCCGGGGCCCAACCCCGGGACUGCCCUUGGAACUGCAUGGCUGGAGUGCGCGGAAGGCAGGCGGAAUUCGUGGUGUAGCGGUGAAAUGCUUAGAUAUCACGAAGAACCCCGAUUGCGAAGGCAGCCUGCCGCAGCGUUACUGACGCUGAAGCUCGAAAGCGCGGGUAUCGAACAGG
rnacentral:rRNA from 1 species